rnacentral:rRNA from 1 species
GACGAACGCUGGCGGUAUGCCUAACACAUGCAAGUCGAACGAGAUCAUAUUUUUGUUUACAAGAAUAUGAUUGCAGUGGCGGACGGGUGAGGAACACGUAAGAACUUACCUUUUGGCGGGGGAUAACAACGGGAAACUGUUGCUAAUACCCCAUAAUGCUGAGGAGCAAAAGGGAAACUACCAAAAGAGAGGCUUGCGUCUGAUUAGCUAGUUGGAGGAGGUAAAUGCUCCCCAAGGCGACGAUCAGUAGCUGGUCUGAGAGGAUGAUCAGCCACACUGGGACUGAGAUACGGCCCAGACUCCUACGGGAGGCUG